UACGUAGGCAGCAAGCGUUGUUCGGAGUUACUGGGCGUAAAGCGCACGUAGGCGGCUUUGUAAGUUAGAGGUGAAAGCCCAGAGCUCAACUCUGGAAUUGCCUUUAAGACUGCAUCGCUCGAAUUGUGGAGAGGUAAGUGGAAUUCCGAGUGUAGAGGUGAAAUUCGUAGAUAUUCGGAAGAACACCAGUGGCGAAGGCGACUUACUGGACACAUAUUGACGCUGAGGUGCGAAAGCGUGGGGAGCAAACAGG
rnacentral:rRNA from 1 species